ACCCAAUCCUUUGCUACUAUACCAAAAUAAGCAACAUUUUCAGUCCAUGCCUUAUUUAUAUUCACCAAGCAUUACACUAGGCCUCCAACUGCUCAUCGGAGCAAGCUGCAGCCUGGACACAAGCUAGAGAUUAAUCAGUCAGGAAUGAUCCUGCGUCCAGUGCCAGCACGAUGGAAGAGACAGAGAAACAGAAGACAUCAGGGCUCCAGAGUCAAGGAGCCUGCAGGAGGAAACUGGAGGACCGAGCUCAGAACGCAUUUUAGAACUGGCAGAAAAGAACAUCUGGGGAAGGAAACACAUUUCAGAAACAAACAUACCUUUGUACCAGCUUUUAUUUUCUUUAAGUGUUGAAAAAAUAAUAAUAAUAAAGACAUGCCA
rnacentral:lncRNA from 1 species